AGUGAACGCUGGCGGUAGGCCUAACACAUGCAAGUCGAACGGCAGCACAGUAAGAGCUUGCUCUUACGGGUGGCGAGUGGCGGACGGGUGAGGAAUACAUCGGAAUCUACUUUUUCGUGGGGGAUAACGUAGGGAAACUUACGCUAAUACCGCAUACGACCUACGGGUGAAAGCAGGGGAUCUUCGGACCUUGCGCGAUUGAAUGAGCCGAUGUCGGAUUAGCUAGUUGGCGGGGUAAAGGCCCACCAAGGCGACGAUCCGUAGCUGGUCUGAGAGGAUGAUCAGCCACACUGGAACUGAGACACGGUCCAGACUCCUGCGGGAGGCAGCAGUGGGGAAUAUUGGACAAUGGUCGCAAGCCUGGUCCAGCCAUACCGCGUGGGUGAAGAAGGCCUUCGGGUUGUAAAGCCCUUUUGUGGGGAAAGAAAAGCAGCAGGUUAAUACCCCGCUGUUCUGACGGUACCCAAAGAAUAAGCACCGGCUAACUUCGUG
rnacentral:rRNA from 1 species